rnacentral:rRNA from 1 species
GACUAACGCUGGCGGCGUGCCUAAUACAUGCAAGUCGAACGGGAUUCUUUGAUCAGCUUGCUGAGAGAAGGAUCUAGUGGCGGACGGGUGAGUAACGCGUGGGAAUCUGCCUCUUACUGGGGGAUAACAGUGGGAAACUACUGCUAAUACCGCAUAAGAUCUUCGGAUGAAAGGUGCAACUGCACCGGUAAGAGAUGAGCCCGCGUCCCAUUAGCUAGUUGGUGAGGUAAAGGCUCACCAAGGCGACGAUGGGUAGCCGGCCUGAGAGGGUGAACGGCCACACUGGGACUGAGACACGGCCCAGACUCCUACGGGAGGCAGCAGUAGGGAAUCUUCCGCAAUGGGCGCAAGCCUGACGGAGCGACGCCGCGUGAGUGAUGAAGGCCUUCGGGUCGUAAGCUCUGUUCUUGAGGACGAAUAAGCCAGGGAGUGGAAAGCCCUGGUGAUGACUGUACUCAAGGAGAAAGCUCCGGCUAACUACGUG